rnacentral:rRNA from 1 species
GAUGAACGCUGGCGGCGUGCCUAAUACAUGCAAGUCGAGCGAACAGACGAGGAGCUUGCUCCUCUGACGUUAGCGGCGGACGGGUGAGUAACACGUGGAUAACCUACCUAUAAGACUGGGAUAACUUCGGGAAACCGGAGCUAAUACCGGAUAAUAUAUUGAACCGCAUGGUUCAAUAGUGAAAGACGGUUUUGCUGUCACUUAUAGAUGGAUCCGCGCCGCAUUAGCUAGUUGGUAAGGUAACGGCUUACCAAGGCGACGAUGCGUAGCCGACCUGAGAGGGUGACCCGCCACACUCGAACUGAGACACGGUCCAGACUCCUACGGGAGGCAGCAGUAGGGAAUCUUCCGCAAUGGGCGAAAGCUUGACGGAGCAACGCCGCGUGAGUGAUGAAGGUCUUCGGAUCGUAAAACUCUGUUAUUAGGGAAGAACAAAUGUGUAAGUAACUAUGCACGUCUUGACGGUACCUAAUCAGAAAGCCACGGCUAACUACGUG